CAAAAUAAUAAAUAAACGUUAAAAAAAAAAAAGACUUAAAAUACAUUAAGACCUCCAUCCACUUCCAGAUGUGUGAUCUGGACUUACUCCGGUGCCCUGAGCGUUCAUUGUUCACAGAAGUAUGGUAUCUCACUGUACCGUUGGCAUAUGUGCAGUUUGACCAUGAAAUUCUCAUUUUAAAAAACACAUUACUCAUCAAGAGUUUUGAAAGACAUAGCAUAAACAUUUAAUGAGGUGUGUGUGAGGCAUCUAGAAUAUUUCAAUGUAGGUUUAGGUGGAAUUAGGGUAUGGAUUCAUUAAUCAUUAAGAAUUAGGAAGACUAAUCCUUUCCUGCUACACUUUAAGUUCAUACUUAAGUCAUUGAAAUAGAUGAGUGUUUUGUUUUUGAGUAUUUAUUUUUAAAAGUAACCAGAGAAGCAAUUCCACAGCCUUUCUUUAGUAAGUGUUAAAUUGUCCAUAGAGUUGAUAUGUUUUCUGGUGUUGUUUCUUUUUGUACACCAGAUCCCUUGUGGACCUGAAACCUUGCCUUAAGCCUGCUUAAGAACUCUAACCUCUUGGUCAUCUGCCUCUCCUUGCUAUAUCCCCUAUUCCUCUCCUGGACUUGGGACCUGUUCUUGUCCAUAGGCAGAUGGUUGGGGCUCUAUUUCAACCGAGGCAGAACUUGCAGAGCCAAGAUACUGUGAUACUGCCUCUGGGAUUUGAACUUACUGGAUUGACGCCUUGGAUACUGAGGACAGGCUAGCUGAGAGCUGGGCUCUUUGGCUAUUACUAUUUGGGCCCAUUUUGAGGGUCAGCUUUUCAUUUGCAUCAGGCUCUAGAACACCCUAGACUUCAUCCAGUCAUUACUUAGAUCCCUUUCCUGACUAUACCUGUUGGAUUCUUUGCCUUCUUAGUUGACUCAUGUAAUGGGUGAUUUAUAUCCCCCAUUUUCAGUGGUAGCUAUUUUUAAGUAUUUGAUAGUCUACCCAUGUCUUCUCUCAGUUUUGAACUUUUCAUUUGACCAAGUAGCUGUUGUAUUUUCCCAUGGCACAUUUGUUUAUGAUCUGUCUUUCCUUCUAGAUUAUGUGUACCCCGAGUGUUGAAACUGAAUCUGUGUUCUUCCUGGUGGUGUUCUCAGCACUCAGUACAGUGCCUGGCAAAUAGCAGGUGACACUGAUGAUAAAAAUCCGUUCAAGAAUUUAGAUGUGACAUCUGCAGCAGGUUCAGAUCUCUCAGCUCUAAGACAAACUGGAUACUUCGUAAAGAUUUUCAUCUGUUAUGCACAGAGCCAAAAUCCGUUACUGAAAUUGUCUGGGUGAGCAGCCUGCUGGGUCCAGUGAUGACGCACUAGUAGACAAAGAAGUUGAAAAAGAAGGAUGGCAUAUUCUUUGGAUGACUGGCAGAGUGUGACGCCAGUAUGGCAUCAAGCCCUACUAUGAUUCCAAGGACUUCA